rnacentral:snoRNA from 1 species
GGCCAUCUGUACACAACUCACAGGCUGUGUUCCUACGCUACCUGCAUAGAAACAGGAGGCAAAGUAAAACCUACUGUAUAUACAUCCGAGCCCGGGCCCUGUGCCUGGUCUGCGUGGUGAAUAGGAGACGGGC